AUGGUGAUUAAUCGUGUAGAAAACAGUGACCAAUCCCCAGAAGAUUGGGUUAGUGACGAGGAUGGUUCAGGUGGAUUCACUGGAUUACCAGGGACACCAUGUUUUACUUCUAGGCUUUCAUUGCUCAAAUUUGGUUCGGUUGUUGCCAAGUUCGGUGAUUUCAAGCGGCAACUAGUUAUGGAGACUGGUUUUGGGGGGUUUCUAGAGGUGAAGGCAUGGCAGAAGAUUAAUCUGAAGUAUAGCACUUUUUCAAUGGACCGAGUGCAUGUAGAAUCCAGCACAAUCAACCUUGAGGAACAGGGCGUGCUUGAACUGUCCGAACAGAAGCUUAAUUAUGUUUUUGGCAUCCCCUCCGGUGAAUUCGAUAUAAACGGCAAAGGCGUCGAGCCAUCAGAAGCCUGCAUCGAGUACACCCGAAUGGCAGCAUCAUUCAUCGACAAAGGCACACAUAGCCUAAAAGCAGCUGAAAAUGUUUUGCUUGGAGCUAUAUCAGAAUCGUCAUCCCAAAUACAGCAGGACUGUUUCAAGAUUGCAUUUGUUAUUUUUAUAAUCGUUCAUGUGCUGACUCCCACCUCCAAACAUGAUUAUAUAUCCAUAGACUUCUGGGCUGCACUGAAUGACAUUAGCAAGAUCAAGAGUUGGAACUGGGGAGGGUAUGUACUAAAACACUUGUUUCAAGCUGUCAGAAAGUUCAAGACAGAUGUUUCAAAGAGAAACCCAACCAUCCACAUAGUUGGCUGUCACUUGUUUCUGCAGGUUUUUGUUCUCGAUUGUCUCGACCUUGGUAUACUAAACAAGCCGCAAGAAAUAACCCCCCACAUAGGUUUGUAUGAUUAUGAUUCAAUGAGGAAGAUGGUUGAGAACAUUGCAGUGAACAUAUCUCCUGGGGAGAUUUCCUACCACGGGGGAGCGGUUCGGCCCGAGCUCUCUGUUAGCCAGCCGAUUGAACUCCAUGCGAAAGAUACAUGCUCCCUAAAUCCCCCCAAACAAGCAACAGCCCCUAAAGAGCAAGCAUACCAUCCACGCCAAUGCUAUGGUGUAAUUACACAAGGACUGGCCCACAAGAUUUUUCAAAUUACAUCCGCACAAAAUACCCGAACAUAUCAGCAGAGAAGCUGGGUAUUCUUCUUCACGAGCAGAAUGCACGUGGUCUCGCUAAUAUAA
rnacentral:rRNA from 1 species